GAGUGUGUGCCUAUGUAUGUGUUAUAUUGUCUGUGUGUACACAUACACACACACACACACACACACACACACACACACACAC
rnacentral:miRNA from 1 species